CCGGCUGUAGUUUAAUUGGAAAAACACUUUCUCUGCCAGGGAAAAACGCAGGUUCGAUUCCCGCCAGCCAGU
rnacentral:tRNA from 1 species